CUCAGAAGGGUAAUUUUGUCUGGAGGGUUUAGGACGAAUUACCCCUUCAUUUCACCUUAUUUGCAAGAAACCCAUUAUAUGUGGACUAGGUUGGAAGGGCAAUUUUGUCCUCUCGGUUUUGAGUGAAUUCAGGGGUUGGCGUGUAGAGUUUCAUUUACUGUCCUUCAAUGAGGGUUUCGGGGGAUGGAAACUCUGACAGAGAGCGGAAGAAACAGAGAGAGAGAGAGAGAGAGAGAGAGAGAGAGAGAGAGAUGCCGAUGGGAAGAGAGUGCAGGGGAGAGGUAUGGGUGAUGGAUUUCAAAAGUGGGAAAGUGGGUUUUGUCUUCUCGGUUUUCACUGAAUUCGGGGGUUGGCGUGUACAGUUUCAUUUGCUGUCCUUCAAUGAGGGUUUCGGGGGGAAGAAAGAACAAUUGUGGGUUAAAGUCUUCAUAUUUGAAAGUUGAAUCUCAGCCUUUGAAAGGCUUUGUGAACAUGUCCUCGCGUGUGCAGCAGCACUCUGCAGCUAGAACUUUUUUUGAUUUUUCAUUCGAAUCGAUUCGAUUUUUUACCUAGAAAAGUUAGCGGUUACUGGUGAGUUUUUCCGCCUUUCUUAGCGUGGGUGUUUUAAUUUUUUUUUUUUUUUUUUUUUGGUGGUUUAGGAUUUGCAGAUGGGUUUUGUGUUUAAGUUUGCUUUUUGUGAUUUUGUUUGUAGGCUCGGAUCCUCCUCUUCUUCUUCAUCCAAACCUGUAGCCCCACCUUUGAUUAUUACCGACGGAAACACGACGGAUUAAGGCGCAGCACCAAUACUGUAACACUUAGGAGAAAAGAGGCCCAAACCCGCAAAGAUUCGUUCGAACACGUGCAGGAAGAAAUAACGAGGCGGUUGAAGUGUAGUACAAAAGUUUACUUUGAAGCCAAGGUUAAGAAAAAAGAGUGAGGAUAUGAAGAAGUGGAAAUGUACCUGAUGGAAUGAGAGUUUUGCUGCUUAAGACAAAGAAUGGAGAUGCAAUCUAAGUGACUCUAAAAGAUGUCGACUAUGCUUUGGUUGAUCAAAAAAUAGAAACUGCACUUCUGUAUUAUGAGAGAAAAUAGAGAGCAAUCUGUCUCAGUUUUGGAAUGUACUGGAAUAAAAAAAGCUAACUCAAGCUGCUAUGUCAAAGCUGGAGGAGCCAUUGUUGAUUAAUCCUAGGAAAUAUGAGGCUUUGUGGUGAUGGGAAAUGCUUAAACUGCUUGAACAUUAUGCACUCCGGACCAGAAUGAGGCAAAGGUUCCAAAAGGUGUUGUACUGCUUCCAGAAGGCUUUCAAUGAGGUUCUUCCACUUACAAAUUUGUUAUUCUUGGAAUUUGUAAUCCCGCAGCAACGCGCGGGCAUUACUAGCUAGUUAAUAACUAACUUAUCCAUUACAACAC